AACGAACGCUGGCGGCAUGCCUAACACAUGCAAGUCGAACGAGACCUUCGGGUCUAGUGGCGCACGGGUGCGUAACGCGUGGGAACCUGCCCUUAGGUUCGGAAUAACUCCCCGAAAGGGGUGCUAAUACCGGAUAAUGUCUUCGGACCAAAGAUUUAUCGCCUUUGGAUGGGCCCGCGUCGGAUUAGCUAGUUGGUAGGGUAAAAGCCUACCAAGGCGACGAUCCAUAGCUGGUCUGAGAGGAUGAUCAGCCACACUGGGACUGAGACACGGCCCAGACUCCUACGGGAGGCAGCAGUGGGGAAUAUUGGACAAUGGGCGAAAGCCUGAUCCAGCAAUGCCGCGUGAGUGAUGAAGGCCUUAGGGUUGUAAAGCUCUUUUACCCGGGAUGAUAAUGACAGUACCGGGAGAAUAAGCUCCGGCUAACUCCGU
rnacentral:rRNA from 1 species